rnacentral:rRNA from 1 species
GACGAACGCUGGCGGCGUGCUUAACACAUGCAAGUCGAACGGAAAGGCCCUGCUUUUUUGGGGUGCUGGGGUGGCGAACGGGUGAGUAACACGAGAGUAACCUAACCUUCUCUUUGGUUUAGGUUAACGAAACGAGAGCUAAUCCAAUAUAGGAUCUCCUGCUGCUUUGUGAGGAUGGGAAUGUUUCGGCUGUUGGGGCUGGUUGCGCGGCUGAUGCGCUUGAUGGUGGGGUAGGGGCUGACCAAGCCUUUGAAGGGUAGCCGGCCUGAGAGGGGGGCCGGCCACAUUGGGACUGCGAUACGGCGCAGCCGCGGACGGGAGGCAACAGUGGGGAGUAUUGUACAGCGGGCGCACGCCGGAUGCGACGACGCCGCGUGCGGGAUGACGGCCUUUGGGGAGUGAACCGCUUCCGCCUGGGACGAAGCGGGAGUGACGGUAACGGGUAAAGAAGCACCGGCUAACUACGUG